AGGAUAAACGCUGGCGGCGUGCCUAACACAUGCAAGUCGAACGCGCUUGCUAUCCGCGAGGACGGUGAGCGAGUGGCGGACGGGUGAGGAACACGUGGGUGACCUACCUUUCAGUGAGGGAUACCGGCGAGAAAUUGCCGACAAGACCGCAUACGCUUCUCUUUUCAAGGGGAGAAGGAAAGCUUUUCGCAAGAGAGGCGCUGGGAGAUGGGCCUGCGGCCGAUUAGCUAGCUGGUGGGGUAAUGGCCUACCAGGGCGACGAUCGGUAGCUGGUCUGAGAGGACGAUCAGCCACACUGGGAUUGAGAACGGCCCAGACUCCUACGGGGGGCAGCAGUGAGGAAUUUUCGGCAAUGGGGGCAACCCUGACCGAGCAACGCCGCGUGCAGGACGACGGCCUUCGGGUUGUAAACUGCUUUUCUCUGGGACGAGCAAGGACGGUACCAGAGGAAGAGCCCGGCUAACUACGUGCCAGCAGCCGCGGU
rnacentral:rRNA from 1 species